rnacentral:rRNA from 1 species
GCAUAUCAAUAAGCGGAGGAAAAGAAACCAACAGGGAUUACCUCAGUAACGGCGAGUGAAGCGGUAACAGCUCAAAUUUGAAAGCUAGCUCUUUUAGGGUUCGCAUUGUAAUUUGUAGAAGAUGCUUCGGGUGUGGCCCCGGUCUAAGUUCCUUGGAACAGGACGUCAUAGAGGGUGAGAAUCCCGUAUGUGACUGGGUGCUUUCGCUCAUGUGAAGCUCUUUCGACGAGUCGAGUUGUUUGGGAAUGCAGCUCAAAAUGGGUGGUAAAUUUCAUCUAAAGCUAAAUAUUGGCCAGAGACCGAUAGCGCACAAGUAGAGUGAUCGAAAGAUGAAAAGCACUUUGGAAAGAGAGUUAAACAGUACGUGAAAUUGUUGAAAGGGAAGCGCUUGCAACCAGACUUGCGCGCUGAUGAUCAUCCGGGCUUCUGCCCGGUGCACUCGUCUGCGCUCAGGCCAGCAUCGGUUUCGGUGGUGGGAUAAAGGCCUUGGGAAUGUAGCUCCUCUCGGGGAGUGUUAUAGCCCUCGGUGCAAUGCCGCCUACCGGGACCGAGGACCGCGCUUCGGCUAGGAUGCUGGCGUAAUGGUUGUAAGCGACCCGUCUUGAAACACGGACC